GUGGUUUGGGACCUCAGGAAGCAAAAGCCAAUUAUAAGCUUCUCAGAUUCAGUUAGAAGAAGAUGUUCAGUUUUGCAAUGGCAUCCUGAUUUUCCACUCAACUUAUUGUUGCUUCAGAGGAUGAUAAUUCACCUUCACUAAGGUUAUGGGAUAUGAGGAACACAAUGUCACCAUUGCGAGAGUUACUAGGUCAUACUAAAGGUGUUGUAGCAAUGGAAUGGUGUCCUCAUGAUGGUUCAUAUCUGCUUACAUGUGCUAAAGAUAAUCAAACUAUGUGUUGGAACA